rnacentral:tRNA from 1 species
CAGGGGUUAGUUUAUGUUAGAAUGUUAGUUUUGGGGAUUUGUGGUGUGUUGAAGCACCUCUGA